CCUACGGGAGGCAGCAGUGGGGAAUAUUGGGCAAUGGGCGCAAGCCUGACCCAGCAACGCCGCGUGAAGGAAGAAGGCUUUCGGGUUGUAAACUUCUUUUCUCAGGGACGAAGAAAGUGACGGUACCUGAGGAAUAAGCCACGGCUAACUACGUGCAAGCAGCCGCGGUAAUACGUAGGUGGCAAGCGUUAUCCGGAUUUAUUGGGUGUAAAGGGCGUGUAGGGGGGAGGGCAAGUCAGUUGGUAAAACACAGGGCGCAAGCCUGAGCCUGCAUUGGAAACUGUGUUUCUUGAGUGCGGGAGAAGCAAGCGGAAUUCGGUGUGUAGCGGUGAAAUGCGGAGAUAUAGGGAAGAACACCGGUGGCGAAGGCGGAUUACUGGACAGAAACUGACGCUGAGGCACGAAAGCGUGGGUAGCAAACAGGAUGAGAUACCCCAGUAGUC
rnacentral:rRNA from 1 species